rnacentral:rRNA from 1 species
UGCCAGACUCCUACGGGAGGCAGCAGUGGGGGAUAUUGCACAAUGGGGGAAACCCUGAUGCAGCGACGCCGCGUGUGGGAAGACGGUCCUCUGGAUUGUAAACCACUGUCCCCAGGGACGAAGAUGACGGUACCUGGGGAGGAAGCUCCGGCUAACUACGUGCCAGCAGCCGCGGUAAUACGUAGGGAGCGAGCGUUGUCCGGAAUUACUGGGUGUAAAGGGAGCGUAGGCGGGGAUGCAAGUCUGGAGUGAAAGCCCGUGGCCCAACCCCGGGACUGCUCUGGAAACUGCGGCGCUGGAGUACGGGAGGGGCAGGCGGAAUUCCUGGUGUAGCGGUGAAAUGCGUAGAUAUCAGGAGGAACACCGGCGGCGAAGGCGGCCUGCUGGACCGUGACUGACGUUGAGGCUCGAGAGCGUGGGGAGCAAACAGGAUUAGAUACCCGCGUAUU